AUACGUAGGGGGCGAGCGUUGUCCGGAAUGAUUGGGCGUAAAGGGCGCGUAGGCGGCCCGGUAAGUCUGGAGUGAAAGUCCUGUUUUUAAGAUGGGAAUUGCUUUGGAUACUGUCGGGCUUGAGUGCAGGAGAGGUAAGUGGAAUUCCCAGUGUAGCGGUGAAAUGCGUAGAGAUUGGGAGGAACACCAGUGGCGAAGGCGACUUACUGGACUGUAACUGACGCUGAGGUGCGAAAGUGUGGGGAGCAAACAGGAUUAGAUACCCUGGUAGUCCACACUGUAAACGAUGAAUGCUAGGUGUAGGGGGUAUCGACCCCUUCUGUGCCGCAGUCAACACAAUAAGCACUCCGCCUGGGGAGUACGGCCGCAAGGUUGAAACUCAAAGGAAUUGACGGU
rnacentral:rRNA from 1 species